rnacentral:tRNA from 1 species
AGUAAGAUAAGCUAAAAAAGCUUUAGGGCUCAUACCCCUAAAAUGACGGAUUAAACCCUCUUUUACUA